UUAUCAUUUUUAAUAAUUUUACACAUUAAGGAUGCCUUUAUUACUCAAACGAUCAGUUUUGCUAAUUAUGUCAACAAACGAUACAAGUAAUAAAUAUUUAGUGAAAAAGCAAAAAUACAUUUAUCACACAAAUAUCGGUAAAAAUUAGCACAUAGGUAAUACAUUAAUAGUUUACAGAUAAAAAUAAACAUAUCUUAAAUUUUUAAUAAAGCGUAUAAAAGUUUUUUUGAAGAAUUGUUUAUUAAGGCGCUUACAUACUAAUUUAUCGCAGAAAUAAAUGUGAAGAUUUAUCUCAAACGAGCUGUGUUUAUUAGAUGGUUAUUUAGACGCAUCCUACUUAUAUUAAUAUUCAUGUCUUUUCGUCAUUAAAAUAUCACUUAAAUUUAACUGCUAUGUUUUGAAAGGAAAGAAUUUUCAAAAUUCCCAAUAUAGAUGACAAAAUAUUUUCCUUUUUUGCAAAAAAAAAUUAAUAUGCCUUAUUACUCUUUAUCUUAUCUUAUACUAAUAUCAUAAUGUGGAAGAGUUUCGUGUUUGUAUGUUCUCUCUCAAGAGCUGAACUGAACUGAGGAUAAAUAAGAAAUGUAACGAAAAUAUUUUUUGAGGCCAUACAUUGCGAGCGCUGCUUAAAGCCAUUAAAAAAAAAAAAAAAAAAACGACCUUCGUAAAUAACGCAUUACUUACGAAGGUGGUUUUAUAGAUAUGAUAUAUGUACUCAUAGAAAUGAAUACCUUAUUUAUCACGAGUUUCUUUUUGAACAAAAUUGUCUUAGACAUAAUUUAAUUUCAACGAAUAUCUU
rnacentral:misc_RNA from 1 species